AGGGUUUUGUGGGUUAAGUCCUCCGUGUGUGUAAACGGUUUCAUUUCUCUUCAAGAUGCGGACGACUCGAGAGAGAGAGAAUAUCCCGCUCAGAUAAGCUGCAUAUUUACUGAGAUGUCUGCAUUUUUCUGCUAUGGUACAAUGACUCACUCUGCUGCAGUAAAAUGAUGCAAGCGAAUGUUCGUUUACCAACUGGCUAGUUUGGUGGUUUUAGUUAGCAAGUAGCUAACCACGUGCCAUGUUAGCUAGUAUGCUAGCUUUCCAGUUAGGAGUGACCGGACCUUCAGUCAUUAUAAACCCAACAUUAGAGGUCUCUGCUACGGUGAUGAUAAAAUGAACUCUCUCUUACCGAAUCAGCCUUUGAAGAAGAAACUUCUUUACCAGAUUCUGAGUAGCAUUUGGCCCCUGAUUCGACUCGUUGCUGCGCUAAUGGCACCCUAUUCUCAAUAAUGUACUACUUAUUAACGUUGAUCUGGUCAGAAGUAGUUCACUUUAUUGAAAAUAAGGUUCCAUUAGCGACGAUAUCUGUGUCGGGUUCUAUAUGCCUGCACGUUGCCUGUUCAUAAAUGGACCUCCCUAACUUCACCCUGAUCAACAGAAAUGCAGGACAGAUGCCGGGAAGUCCAGAAGAAUGACACGUCUGCAUUACUUGUGACAUGACUUUCUGACUUCAAGGCAUCUGAACAGAAUCUCCACUUGGAGUUCCAUUCUUGAAUAGGAAUGUGGUGCUGAAUACCUGAUUCCAGACCAUGAGACUGAUGCGCUUUGUGAAAAUCCAGAUGUGGGGAUGAAGUUUCCUGAAGGGAUUAACACGACCUUCACUGGGUUUGGGUGCUGUGGUCCGUGCAUUGCAGCGUGGACUCCAACAUACUGGCUGUAACCUGAAGCUGAUGUCUUCCUAGGUUCUUCUGUAUGUGGCUGAACAGGGAGCCGUGAUGCCAACUAGACUGGUCCUGAUGGUGGUACCAGACAAGUCACUAGAAGAUGCCUGGUACUGAACUACCACAAGGUUUCUGCCCCUCUGGUUGAGGUCCUGGUGUCUGCAGGGUUUGGAAAGAUCUGGUUGGCUGCUGAAGUGUUGCUGUGCUGGUGGAGGGGAAGCUCUCCUGUUUUACACCUGCAAGACCUCUUACACUCCUGAUUGGUCAGCAAGGAAGUGAGACAUCUCGUUGGAACUGGGGGGAAACAAGGCCAAGUCUAUUCAACCCUGUGACUGUUCUGAUGUGUAAAUAAACCUACAAAUCAA